rnacentral:rRNA from 1 species
CUGCCUGCAGAUAGCUCUCUGCAACUCUCACAUGGUUGCCCACUGAAGCUAAGCGUUGCUGUGCCCAGUCAAUAGCUGGAUGGGAGACUACAUGGGAAAGCAGGGUUGCAGCUGGA